GAUCACGCGCUGCGCUGCGAGAGGGGGUGGUUGUGGGGGUGGUCGCGCGCCGUUCUCGUGCUUUUCGCGCGCUGCGGUGCUGAGCGCGAGGCGCGACCGCAGGGCUUUUCCAGUCAGCGCUGUGGCGGUCUGUGUGGUACCGGGCUCUGAGCCCCCCUACCUAUUGCUGCUGUGCGCUGUAGUUACCCUACAGCGAGACAGAAGUAUUUGCAAGAUCAUCCCUUGCACAGUUCUACUCCAGCAUUGCCCAUAGCACAGCCCAGCAGCACGAACUACAAGCGAAUAAUGCCAGUUAAUCGCUCUAGAAGCUUUUUGUCUCCUUCCCUGGUUAUUUAUGACUAAGUAAUUACAGACUGGCUCUCUAGGAGGCUUGGGGUGGAUGGAUUUGGGCUGCUGCUUCCAAUCUGCUCCUUGUGUUUGAGCAGCUUCACAGUUGAUGUAGCAACGAAUGCAUCACCCUGGUUUUUGCUUCAGGGCUGAAGAGAACGUGCUUUGAAACAUGGAUGUCUGCUGUCCUCAGGAAGCUGUGCAGCAUCUCUCUGUCAGACCAAGAACAUUAUCCAGAGUGCUUGCUGUGUUCUUUGUCCAGCCUGAGGAUCUGUUGGAAUGUCUGGAAGCUUCUGCCAUGUCUGGAUCAGUUUGAGAGACUAAUCCAGAAGACAGGAACAGCUCCUAGAGCCCACGCUUGUGCUUAAAGGUACAAAUUCAGUCUGUAUUUAAAGCAAAAGACCUUUUUGCUACCCCAGUGAUUCACUAAUUAAUAUCCUUGAAGUACACGGAUUCCUGAAGCACAGAUUGAGAGGCAAUUUGCAAUCUCUUUGUGGAGUUGAUAUUUCACAGUACAGCAGCACAAAGCUAUAUUUCACUGGUAAGUAAGUUGACUGGAGUGUAAUUUAUCCCCCUUCUGCUGUUGCUUACUGCUGCUGGGAGACGACUUCUCUCAUUGCAUUGCCUGUCUUGGAGUUUAUUUUGAUUCUUCUUAAAUUCAAUGGGGAAAAUGUUAUUGGGUUCAGUAGUAAUUGCGUUAGGUAGUUGGUCACUAUUGUUCAAUACUACUGUUUAAUUACCCACCAUUGGUGCUACAGAAUUGUGAGUAGCUUGUGCCUGCCGAGCACAAAGCUGGAUAGUUGAAACAUCAUCAUGAACUAAGGAGUUAUUUAUUAAUGAAGAAUUGCAAUCCUCACUCGUAUGCAAACAGAAUAUUUCACCCUCAGGAGCACGAACAAAACGGCAGAAUGCACUGACUGCCUAUCUAAUAGUGCAGACCUGUGCAGCUUCUGAGAUGCCAAUUUCCAUUGCUUGGCACAAAGCUGGUAUGUCUUUUUCUUGAAUACCCACAUGAACUGUUAGUCAUUCUAAGUCAUGUAAAAAUUCUCCUUGCAAUUGACAGCAGCAGAAGCUAAUCCUUCUGAAAUGUGUUUAAUAUACACAGGACACUACAAAGGACAAUGCAGGUGUUCAUGUUACUUCAUCCAUUUAUUUCUUUCCUGUGGUUUUGUCUCUUGUGAUUUUAUGCCAUGUUUCUUAAUAUAUAGCAGCUGCAUUUUCUUACCCUGUUUAGUGCUGGGAUUCAUAAAUUGUUCAGCUAUAGGCUGUUGUAAAACCACUGUGUAACCUUCUUGUAUAAGAUCCUCUGAUAACUGCAGCGGUAUCUGUUAGUAAAUAUGUUGAUCCAGACAAACACUGAAUGAGGUUAAAAAAUUGUGUAUUUGUUAAAAAUGCUUUUUUUCUUUUUUCUUUUUUUUUUCCCUGACAGACUAAGGCAGUUUGCAUUCUUUCAUGUUCGACAUCUCAAUUUGUUUCAGAGUAUUUUUUUUU